rnacentral:rRNA from 1 species
CCCACCAAGCCGAUGAUCGGUACGGGUUGUGAGAGCAAGAGCCCGGAGAUGGAACCUGAGACAAGGUUCCAGACCCUACGGGGUGCAGCAGGCGCGAAACCUCCGCAAUGUACGAAAGUGCGACGGGGGGAUCCCAAGUGUCAUGCUUUUUUGUAUGACUUUUCAUUAGUGUAAAAAGCUUUUAGAAUAAGAGCUGGGCAAGACCGGUGCCAGCCGCCGCGGUAACACCGGCAGCUCGAGUGGUAGCUGUUUUUAUUGGGCCUAAAGCGUUCGUAGCCGGUUUGAUAAGUCUUUGGUGAAAGCUUGUAGCUUAACUAUAAGAAUUGCUGGAGAUACUAUUAGACUUGAAGUCGGGAGAGGUUAGAGGUACUACCGGGGUAGGGGUGAAAUCCUAUAAUCCUGGGAGGACCACCUGUGGCGAAGGCGUUUAACUGGAACGAUCUUGACGGUGAGUAACGAAAGCCAGGGGCGCGAACCGGAUUAGAUACCCGGGUAGUCCUGGCCGUAAACGAUGUGGACUUGGUGUUGGAAUGGCUUUGAGUUGUUCCUGUGCCGAAGGGAAGCUGUUAAGUCCACCGCCUGGGAAGUACGGUCGCAAGACUGAAACUUAA